rnacentral:tRNA from 1 species
CGCGGGAUGGAGCAGUUGGAAGCUCGUCGGGCUCAUAACCCGAAGGUCGCAGGUUCGAGUCCUGCUCCCGCAACCA